rnacentral:rRNA from 1 species
GUCGAACGGAGCUGUUUUGAUGAAGUUUUCGGAUGGAUUUAAAACAGCUUAGUGGCGGACGGGUGAGUAACGCGUGGGUAACCUGCCUCACACUGGGGGAUAACAGUUAGAAAUAGCUGCUAAUACCGCAUAAGCGCACGGUUCCGCAUGGAACAGUGUGAAAAACUCCGGUGGUGUGAGAUGGACCCGCGUCUGAUUAGCCAGUUGGCGGGGUAACGGCCCACCAAAGCGACGAUCAGUAGCCGGCCUGAGAGGGUGAACGGCCACAUUGGGACUGAGACACGGCCCAAACUCCUACGGGAGGCAGCAGUGGGGAAUAUUGCACAAUGGGGGAAACCCUGAUGCAGCGACGCCGCGUGAGUGAAGAAGUAUUUCGGUAUGUAAAGCUCUAUCAGCAGGGAAGAAAGUGACGGUACCUGAAUAAGAAGCCCCGGCUAACUACGUGCCAGCAGCCGCGGUAAUACGUAGGGGGCAAGCGUUAUCCGGAUUUACUGGGUGUAAAGGGAGCGUAGACGGCAAGGCAAGUCUGAAGUGAAAGCCCGGUGCUUAACGCCGGGACUGCUUUGGAAACUGUUUAGCUGGAGUGCCGGAGAGGUAAGCGGAAUUCCUAGUGUAGCGGUGAAAUGCGUAGAUAUUAGGAAGAACACCAGUCGCGAAGGCGGCUUACUGGACGGUAACUGACGUUGAGGCUC